rnacentral:misc_RNA from 2 species
CAACCCUCGGGCCCCGCAUUCGUGCGGGCCCCGGCGUUGGGGACCGGCCUCCGCAUCGGACGGCCGCCCCCGAAACCCAGUGGCGGUCCCGCCGCGGCCUUCUCUGCGUAGUAGCAUACACCUCGCACUGGAGAGCGGCGCGGCCACGCCGUAAAAGAAACGAACUUUCUGAA